rnacentral:rRNA from 1 species
AUUGAACGCUGGCGGCAUGCUUUACACAUGCAAGUCGAACGGCAGCGCGGGCUUCGGCCUGGCGGCGAGUGGCGAACGGGUGAGUAAUGCAUCGGAACGUGCCCAGUAGUGGGGGAUAGCCCGGCGAAAGCCGGAUUAAUACCGCAUACGACCUGAGGGUGAAAGCGGGGGACCGAAAGGCCUCGCGCUAUUGGAGCGGCCGAUGUCGGAUUAGCUAGUUGGUGGGGUAAAGGCUUACCAAGGCGACGAUCCGUAGCUGGUCUGAGAGGACGACCAGCCACAAUGGGACUUGGAACCGGCCCAGACUCCUACGGGAGGCAGCAGUGGGGAAAUUUGGACAAUGGGGGCAACCCUGAUCCAGCCAUGCCGCGUGCGGGAAGAAGGCCUUCGGGUUGUAAACCGCUUUUGUUCGGGAAGAAAUCCUCUGGGCUAAUACCCCGGGGGGAUGACGGUACCGGAAGAAUAAGCACCGGCUAACUACGUG